CCGAUACUCUCUUACUCUUAGAAAACUCUUCACCCAAAAUCUCUCUUUCUCUCUCUCUCUCUCUCUCAGCCAACUCCAGCCACAAAUCUUAGCCCUGACCCUCAUCUCGGAAGCACUCUGAUCUCAUAUCGGCAGCCGAACCUAAUCCCUAAUCUUUCUCGUUGAGAAUCCAAGUCUCGUCGACCAUGGAUGCCGGGAGAGAGUCGAGCACGCCAGUGGCGUCGAGAUCCUCUAAAACCCUAAUUCGAUCCCCAAUUCCUCCCAACCAAAUUCCAUCGUUAUCCCAAGCAGAGCCAUGUUGGGCGGUGCAGCUGAUUGCUGCGGCGGGAUCUACUAGUCUCCGUCUCCAUCAUCUUUGCCUGGCUUAUGUAAUGUUGGAAAGUCAGAUGAAUCCAAUUGGCAAGCUCUACUAAAGCAGCCAAUAUAUCUCAUUGUUUCUCAGAUUCUGGUACCUUUCUUAAGUCGUUUUUUUCUUCAUUUUAUAUUUGGUCUUCUCAACUAAGAACUAGCACUUGUUUCUAAUUUAAGAUAUAUUUGAUAUGACAACGCUCAUGUUGACUCUAUGUGUUUGUAACUUUGUAUAUAUAUCUCAUAUGCCAAAGUUUGGGUCUUUUGUGUGAAUGAAUUAAUUCUGGAUGCUGGAAUGAGAUUCUGGCAUUUUAAGAUAGUAUGAAGUGUCAAUUUAAUGAGUUUUGUGAAUUUUUUUAAUCUGUAAAUAAGAAACAUUUUGUGUUUAAGGUAUGAUUGUUCUCUUCAUAUUUGGCUAAUUUCAAAUUCUAAGGAUGAAUUUGCUUCUGUUGAAUACUAAGUUUAAUCAUCUGAGGUUCUAGAUGAGUUUAUAUUUUCUUCUUCAGUCAAUGCGGCAACAAUCUGAUAUUGGAAACCAACAUAUACAGAGGAACCUUAUCUAACAGUCAUUUGACAUAGUCAAUUAGUGCAUAAGUUUCAACAGGAUAUUGUCUACCUUUGCAUUUCUAAUAUUUAGAUGUGAUAUAUUUACAUGGUUCUUACUUUGCUUUGUACAGAUUGUCUCAUCUUUGAUUUGUACAGUCCGUUCACAAAGCUGUGGGAAAUAUAGAUACUAGCUACUACUAUAUAUAUACUGGUUAAAUUUAUUACAGUAGUAAAUUUCACUAUGCUUGGUUUAUUUUGUUGAAUAUAUUGUCUACAUGGUAGAACUUGUAGGUCACAUUCUGCGAAUUUGGCAGCUGCAAACUGCUACUAACUUGAGCAUUGAAAAAACCAGAACACUGGGCACUUGGAGGGUGCUAAUCUCCACCAAAUUUCAAGACAGUUGCUGCUCAACUCCAUAGAUAUAUUGUCUUAAGCAAUGUCGUCUUAGCUAUUUUCUUUUCUUUCAUUUAGGUUACAUAUUUGUAAAUUUCUAGAGUUAAGAAGAUUACUUUGAUGGAUAUAUUGUCAAUUGGGUACAUAGUAAUGAAAUUGUGUCAUUGUGAUUCAUAUAAUUUCUUGCCAAUGAGA